UUCAUCCUCUACUUAGAUAAAUCUUAAAUCUAAUUUCUCAUCUUUAGAUUCUUCUUUUUAAUUUAUGUUCUUGUUGAUUUCUAUCUUGAAGAAGGAUGAAACCCUCCACAUGAGUUACAGCCAAAAGGAGGAUGACAUGGCCAUCCUUUUCUUCACCAAGAGAGGAAUAAGUCUCAUUUCUUUUCUCUUUUGGCUGUAGACCUAACUAUCUACUUGUUCUCUUCCGCUUCUUCUUAAAGUUGGACCAAUCCCUCUACUAUCUCCCUCUUAAUCUCUCUACAUCCUUAUGUUCUUCUUAAAUCUAUCCUUAUGUCAUUUUUAUGUAAUUAAUCUAAACCUUAUUUAUUUUUCUAGUUUUCUAACUUAGGUUAAAUUUAUCUAUAGGUGGGCAGCAUCUUGACGUCAGAGAAGAUCGGCAUGGAGCCUCUUCCAGGCUUACUAAUUGAGGUAAAGUCUAAUCCAUUAAUUUCUUAAGCUAAUUGUGGAUUAUUAUGAUGGGGGUAG
rnacentral:lncRNA from 1 species